rnacentral:misc_RNA from 1 species
GAUGAAGAACGUAGCGAAAUGCGAUAAGUAAUGUGAAUUGCAGAAUUCAGUGAAUCAUCGAAUCUUUGAACGCACAUUGCGCCCGCCAGUAUUCUGGCGGGCAUGCCUGUCUGAGCGUCAUUUCAACCCUCAUGCCCCUAGGGCGUGGUGUUGGGGAUCGGCCAAAGCCCGCGAGGGACGGCCGGCCCCUAAAUCUAGUGGCGGACCCGUCGUGGCCUCCUCUGCGAAGUAGUGAUAUUCCGCAUCGGAGAGCGACGAGCCCCUGCCGUUAAACCCCCAACUUUCCAAGGUUGACCUCAGAUCAGGUAGGAAUACCCGCUGAACUUAAGCAUAUGAAUAAGCGGAGGA